rnacentral:rRNA from 1 species
GCAUCGAUGAAGAACGCAGCGAACUGCGAUACGUAAUGCGAAUUGCAGGAUUCAGUGAGUCAUCGAAAUUUUGAACGCAUAUUGCACUUCCGGGUUAGUCCUGGGAGUAUGCCUGUAUCAGUGUCCGUACAUCAAACUUGGCUUUCUUCCUUCCGUGUAGUCGGUGGAGGAUGUGCCAGAUGUGAAGUGUCUUGCGUGUUGUCCUUCGGGUCGACUACGAGUCCUUUUAAAUGUACUGAACUGUACUUCUCUUUGCUCGAAAAGCGUGGUGUUGCUGGUUGUGGAGGCUGCCUGCGUGGCCAGUCGGCGACCGGUUUGUCUGCUGCGGCGUUUAAAGGAGGAGUGUUCGAUUCGCGGUAUGGUUGGGCUUCGGCUGAACAGGCGCUUAUUGAAUGCUUUUCCUGCCUGUGGCGUGAUGGGCUGGUGAACCGUAGCUGUGUUUGGCUUGGCUUUUGAAUCGGUUUUGCUGUUGCGAAGUANAGUGGCGGCUUCGGCUGUCGAGGGUCGAUCCAUUUUGGGAAUUUUGUGUGCACUUCGGUGCGCAUCUCAAUUGGACCUGAUAUCAGGCAAGAUUACCCGCUGAACUUAAGCAUAUCAAUAAGCGGUGGA